CAGGAGCCAUGUUGGUCGCUGAUCCAAUGACAAUACUCCUUUCAGCUUUUAUUUGCCUUCUUCUGGGAUUUGUUUUGGUCGGCAACAAAAGGCACAUUUAUCGCAAGUUUCCUCCUGGUCCAAGAGCCCUACCAUUUAUUGGGAAUAUACAAAUGAUAUAUGUGAAACAACCCUAUAAAACACUGCUAGAGCAUCCAGGUAGGAACAGAGAAGAUGGUUGUCCUAUGUGGCUACGAUACAGUUAAAGAUGCCCUUCUCAAUUAUCCUGAUGAUUUCGCUGAUCGACCUGCCCUGCCUUUGAUUGAUGACUUGGCCAAACGCCACGGGGUCUUUUUUUCCAAUGGAGAAAAUUGGAGAGUGAUGAGACGUUUUGCUCUUUCGGCGCUAAAAGAUUUCGGAAUGGGGAAGAAAAGGAUGGAAAAAACGAUCAUCGAAGAAUGUGAUCAUUUAGUGCAAAAAUUCA